UCUGGCGGCUUGCGGUGGUCCCACCUGACCCCAUGCCGAACUCAGAAGUGAAACGCCGUAGCGCCGAUGGUAGUGUGGGGUCUCCCCAUGUGAGAGUAGGGAACUGCCAGAC
rnacentral:rRNA from 1 species